GAAAUGAAAGUGUCAUUCUUGAGUUAAAGUCAUUACCACAGCCAAAAUUGCAGCUUAUUUCCUAAGGGUAUUUUAAUUUUAAUUCACAAGCACGGAGUUAUGCAUUGCUAUUUCUUAUGUCUUGAUUACUGAGUUAAUACAUUACUAAUGAAAUGUUCUCAUUGCUAUAGGAAAUGAGAAAAACAAUUUCAAACAGAAAAGUCCCACACAGAGCUCAUGCUUGACCUGGUAUCACGGGUUCUGGUGUCAAUGUUGAAGAUUCCCAGGGUUACUCUCCUGCCUCUAUAGUACUGUGUCAUUGCCUCAGGGAGCUUUACCAUGUUGUUGAGGCAAAGCACACUGAGGAUUGCACUGGGUGAAUCUGGCAUGUUGAGAAAAGAUCUCAUGUCUUUUUGGCAGGUGAUCUUGUGCUUUUGGUAUAUAAUCAUGAGACAUCAUUCGUGCCUUCUGAAUGAACUCUUAUUGCCCUCAACAACUUCAAAGAUCAUAAAAGGAUCAGAAGCAGAAGAAAACUACUACCUUGAAGAUGGCACAAGUUGGAAAAGAAUCAGGGCCCGGCGCCACGAAAGAGCCCCGGGCUCAAGUGCAUUUUACCUCCGGCGAUACAGAACAGGAAACUGUGGCAACAUCAACCGUUUCCAAAGAAAAAGAGCAAAAAGAAUUGCGCAUGCGUGAAGGAAGGGGCAUGCGCAAACACGAGCAACCCAAACUACAAAUCCCAGCUAUGAUCGGAACUGGAAGUGAAAGUGAAUCUGAGGCAGAUUCAGAUUCUCCGGAUAAAUCAGACGAAGAUGAAGGUAAAAGUUUUUUCUGGAGAUAUAUGAAAAACUUUGAUGCAAAUAAUGCAUGAAAUAAAAACAUUAACAAUAAUUUAAAAAUAUAUUAAAAAUAUGAAGAUUAUGUUUGACAAAAUGAUGAAAAAACAGGACAAAAUGGAUAAGAAAAUUAAAGACUUGGAAGAAACAACGGGAGACAUCAUUGAAAGAAUGAAUAAAAUGGAAAACAAUAUUUCUGCCUGGACAUCAGAAAGAAAACAGUUGUUGGGAAAAGUGGAUGUGCUUGAAAAUUUUAGUAGACAAAAUAAUAUUAAGAUUGUUGGACUUAAAGAAGGUAUAGAGGGAGAGGAUCCAAUAAAUUUUUUUCAAAAAUGGAUUCCGAAAAAUUUGGAAAUGGAAGAAGGAACUCAGUUAAUUGAAAUUGAAAGGGCUCACAAAGCCUUAAGACCAAGACCUCAAGUUGAUCAAAACCCACAAUCAAUCUUGAUAAGAUGCUUAAGAUAUCAAGAUAAAGAAAAGAUCCUGAAGGCAGCUGCCCAACGUGCCAGAAAGAGAAACGGGCCAUUGAUGAUAGAAGGGAAAACAGUUCUUUUCUAUCCUGAUAUAAGUUAUGACAUUUUGAAGAGAAAGAAAGAAUUUAACCCAGUGAAAAAGGUUUUAUGGGAAAAGGGUUAUAAAUUUAUAAUAUGUCACCCGGCAACCCUGAUCAUUUUUUUGGAUGACAGAAAAAGAAGAUUUUUUACUGAUUAUCGGGAUGCGGAAGAGUUUGCACAAAAACUUCCAAAUAUUCGCUAACCACAGCCAAAGAUUUAAAAGUGAAACAGAUUAAAGAUGAAGACAGGGACACUGAAUGGAAUUGAUAGACAUUAAAGGACAAAAGAAUAUUUAAACAUAUUCUUAAUUAUAUGAUACAGGGGGAGAAAAGUAAAAAUUUGAGAAAUAUUGAUUGAGAAUAGUGACUUUUUUUUUCUUCUCGUAUAUAUACUUUUUUAUGUUACGGGGGAGCUGGGGGAACUUCAGAUCGAUCGCUAUGGGAUUCACGUGUGUAAUCAUGGCGUUUGCCAUGACCCGCACAAUGGAGGGGGGUAAUGUGUUUUUUUUAUCCACAACAUUAGUAGGGGGGUAUUUUGUUACUUUUUUCUUUAUAAUCUAUUUUUCUUCUGUCUUUCUUUCUUUGCCUGGAUGAUCGGGGGGGGGGGGGGCGGAGAGACACAUAGCAACAUGGAGAAUUUUAAAAAGAUUCCCCAAGGUACUGCGAAAGUUGAAAAAUUAGGUAUUAUUAUAGAUUGGAGUAAUCCUAUUAAAAAUAAUGACUAAUUUACUGAAUUUUUUAAGUUUUAAUGUUAAUGGGCUUAAUGGACUGGUGAAAAGAAAAAUAAUUUUAACAUACAUUAAGAAAAUGAAAAUAGAUAUAGCUUUUUUACAAGAAACACACAACAGAGAUAGCACAUCAGAAAUUAAAAAGAGAUUGGGUCGGAAAGGUUUUUGCAGCUUCAUUUAAUUCAAAGGUGAGGGGAGUUGCAAUUUUGGUUAAUAAAACUUUACCAAUUAAAAUACAAAAUGUAUUAAUUGAUUCGGUGGGGAGAUAUGUAAUUAUUCAUUGUCAAAUUUUUUCGGAACUAUGGACUCUUAUGAAUAUUUAAGCACCAAAUGAAAAUGAUGUAAAAUUUAUACAAGAGACCUUUUUGAAUUUGGCUGAUGCACAUGACAAAAUAUUAGUAGGUGGAGAUUUUAACUUUUGUCUAGACCCAGUUUUAGAUAGAUCAAGCUUAAUGGCACUAUUUCCCUAUUUAUUUCAUUUUAGCAAGGUUUUUGUAAAA